rnacentral:rRNA from 1 species
AGAGUUUGAUCAUGGCUCAGGAUGAACGCUGGCGGCGUGCCUAACACAUGCAAGUGGAGCGACGAACCCGGACUUGUCCGGGGGCAAAGCCGCGAACGGGUGAGUAACACGUGGGUUAUCUGCCCCAAUGACCGGGACAACUCGAGGAAACUCGAGCUAAUACCGGAUGUGCUCUUCGGAGGAAAGGAAGCUUCGGCCUCCGCAUUGGGAUGAGCCCGCGGCGCAUUAGCUAGUUGGUGAGGUAACGGCUCACCAAGGCGACGAUGCGUAGCUGGUCUGAGAGGACGAUCAGCCACACUGGAACUGAGACACGGUCCAGACUCCUACGGGAGGCAGCAGUGGGGAAUCUUGCGCAAUGCACGAAAGUGUGACGCAGCAACGCCGCGUGCGGGAAGAAGGUCUUCGGAUCGUAAACCGCUUUCAGUUGGGACGAGGGUUACACGGUGAAUAGCCGGCGUAACUGACGGUACCUUCAGAAGAAGCCCCGGCUAACUACGUGCCAGCAGCCGCGGUAAUAC